CCUACGGGGGGCAGCAGUGGGGAAUAUUGGACAAUGGGGGGAACCCUGAUCCAGCCAUGCCGCGUGUGUGAAGAAGGCCCUCGGGUUGUAAAGCACUUUCAGUGAGGAAGAACGCCUGGUGGUUAAUACCCAUCAGGAAAGACAUCACUCACAGAAGAAGCACCGGCUAACUCCGUGCCAGCAGCCGCGGUAAUACGGAGGGUGCGAGCGUUAAUCGGAAUUACUGGGCGUAAAGCGCGCGUAGGUGGCUUGAUAAGCCGGUUGUGAAAGCCCCGGGCUCAACCUGGGAACGGCAUCCGGAACUGUCAAGCUAGAGUGAAGGAGAGGAAGGUAGAAUUCCCGGUGUAGCGGUGAAAUGCGUAGAGAUCGGGAGGAAUACCAGUGGCGAAGGCGGCCUUCUGGACUGACACUGACACUGAGGUGCGAAAGCGUGGGUAGCAAACAGGAUUAGAUACCCUGGUAGUC
rnacentral:rRNA from 1 species